CAGCAACCCUUUGAUGUUCAGAUAAUUUGCUGCCAGAAUGAGGUCGAAGAGGGUAGCCUGGUCAACCUUCACGAACUCAGCAUCCCAGGCCUUCAGCACGUCAUUGUUCGCCUUGUCAGCGGUCUCGUCAACACCCUUAGGCGCCAACUCGACAUGCUUCUUGCUGUACUCAAUUACCUUGGCGAGGAUCUUGCUGUUAACGUUGGGGAUGGGGAUGCCGUUCUCAGCGCAGUCGUCCUCGAUCAUG
rnacentral:misc_RNA from 1 species